AUAGCAGUAGCUUAAUGUAUACACCAAAACUGGACAUAGAACAGUGACUGAGUUAAUCAACUGAUCUCUAGCACGUAGAGGAAAUAAUCCAUAUUCUCAUCGCUCCUCCGGCACAUACAAAAGGGUUCAUUCCGCUUUUAUACCGAGAGGAUGAAUAGAGGAUCACGUUUGCUCUUAGUUUCCUCCAAGAUAAAGGUAAACUUUAUAAAAGGAAGAAGAAAAACUUCUAAGUAAGUAAAUAUUUGGGAAUAUAGUUGUGGAUAACCAGCUGAUGUAGAGAGAGUGAUAAAUGGAGUAUGAUUUUAUCAGUGUCAGCCAGCGAGUGUCGAAGUUCCUCAAAGUACCAUCUAUGUAAACCAGAUCUCACAGUGGCGAGUAACAUAUAGCUUCUAAUCUUAAUCUACCCGAACAACUGGCACUCUACAAGUACAGCCUAUCUCUCCCCAUCUCCCCUUUUUCGCACCAUUUUUUUCACAGGGUAAAUCUAUAGAACGAAUUCCUACCCCAAAAAAGAAUAACGGUAGGGAGAGAUGUGUGAGCUAAAGCUUUAAGUGCGUACGAUAUUAGGAAUGAACAUUUUCAAAACUAGAAAAUCUUAAGUUUGUUUUUUAGUUAUUAUUGAUUAAUAAUAAGCUUAGUUAAUCGAGUUCUGUGUGUUCUUACAUUUUUUAACUCGAUGACAACUCAAGAUGAAAUUAGAUGAAUUUUGACGAUUUACAAGUCGAUGAAAGCUCAAGAUGAAAAUUUAGUAAGACCUUAAUUAAAUUAAAAUUUUGAUUUUGUAUUCCUGUCUUUUAACAAGUCCAUGAAAGCUCAAGACCAAAAUUUAUUAAAGAGAUUAGUUAGAAGAAAUUUGAUUUUUGACAUUUUACAAGUCUAUGGAAACUCAAGAUGAAAAUUUAAUAAAGAGCUCGCUCAGAUGGGAAUUGACAUUUUAUGUUCUUGUUUAACUAGACGAUGGAAACUAGAAAUGAAAAAUAAAUAUGGAGCUUAUAUAGGUGAAUUGUGGAAGAGUAUAUUCAUUAAUAAUAUGGUUUUCACAUAAUUAUACAAUAUCCUGUUUCUAUAGUGAUGAACUGUGUGCCAUAAACAUGGUUUUGUACCUAAGCCUUACGCUUACCUAUUGAUGUUGUCGGUGCGAAAAAGAAAAGAGACCAAUAAAGGACCAUUUUUAAACCACA